rnacentral:rRNA from 1 species
UGGGGAAUAUUGCACAAUGGGCGCAAGCCUGAUGCAGCCACGCCGCGUGAACGAUGAAGGUCUUCGGAUCGUAAAUUUUUGUUGCAGGGGAAGAUAAUGACGGUACUCUGUGAGGAAGCCCCGGCUAACUACGUGCCAGCAGCCGCGGUAAUACGUAGGGGGCUAGCGUUAUCCGGAUUUACUGGGCGUAAAGGGUGCGUAGGUGGUCUUUCAAUUCGGUGGUUAAAGGCUACGGCUCAACCGUAGUUAGCCUCCGAAACUGGAAGACUUGAGUGCAGGAGAGGAAAGUGGAAUUCCCAGUGUGGCGGUGAAAUGCGUAGAUAUUGGGAGGAACACCAGUAGCGAAGGCGGCUUUCUGGACUGCAACAGACACUGAGGCACGAAAGCGUGGGUAGCAAACAGG